CCUACGGGAGGCAGCAGUGAGGAAUAUUUGUCAAUGGACGAGAGUCUGAACCAGCCAAGUAGCGUGAAGGAUGACUGCCCUAUGGGUUGUAAACUUCUUUUAUAUGGGAAUAAAAUGUUCCACGUGUGGGAUUUUGUAUGUACCAUAUGAAUAAGGAUCGGCUAACUCCGUGCCAGCAGCCGCGGUAAUACGGAGGAUCCGAGCGUUAUCCGGAUUUAUUGGGUUUAAAGGGAGCGUAGGUGGAUUGGUAAGUCAGUUGUGAAAGUUUGCGGCUCAACCGUAAAAUUGCAGGUGAAACUGGCAGUCUUGAGUACAGUAGAGGUGAGCGGAAUUCGUGGUGUAGCGGUGAAAUGCUUAGAUAUCACGAAGAACUCCGAUUGCGAAGGCAGUUCACUGGACUGCAACUGACACUGAGGCUCGAAAGUGUGGGUAUCAAACAGGAUUAGAUACCCGGGUAGUC
rnacentral:rRNA from 1 species